rnacentral:rRNA from 1 species
GACGAACGCUGGCGGCGUGCCUAAUACAUGCAAGUAGAACGCUGAAGAGAGGAGCUUGCUCUUCUUGGAUGAGUUGCGAACGGGUGAGUAACGCGUAGGUAACCUGCCUGGUAGCGGGGGAUAACUAUUGGAAACGAUAGCUAAUACCGCAUAAUAGCAGUUAUUGCAUGAUAACUGUUUGAAAGGUGCAAAUGCAUCACUACCAGAUGGACCUGCGUUGUAUUAGCUAGUUGGUGAGGUAACGGCUCACCAAGGCAACGAUACAUAGCCGACCUGAGAGGGUGAUCGGCCACACUGGGACUGAGACACGGCCCAGACUCCUACGGGAGGCAGCAGUAGGGAAUCUUCGGCAAUGGACGGAAGUCUGACCGAGCAACGCCGCGUGAGUGAAGAAGGUUUUCGGAUCGUAAAGCUCUGUGUAAGAGAAGAAACGAGUGUGAGAGUGGAAAAGUCCAC